rnacentral:tRNA from 2 species
GGGGAGUUGGUGUAAUGGCAGCACCCUUGGUUUGGCAUUCAAGAGGUCCGGGUUCGAUUCCCGGGCUCCCCA